AGUGAACGCUGGCGGCAGGCCUAACACAUGCAAGUCGAGCGGCAGCGCGUCCGACCACCCUCGGGUGGUCGGAUGGCGGCGAGCGGCGGACGGGUGAGGAAUGCAUCGGAAUCUGCCUCGUUGUGGGGGAUAACGUAGGGAAACUUACGCUAAUACCGCAUACGACCUACGGGUGAAAGUGGGGGACCUUCGGGCCUCACGCGAUGAGAUGAGCCGAUGCCGGAUUAGCUAGUUGGCGGGGUAAAGGCCCACCAAGGCGACGAUCCGUAGCUGGUCUGAGAGGAUGAUCAGCCACACUGGAACUGAGACACGGUCCAGACUCCUACGGGAGGCAGCAGUGGGGAAUAUUGGACAAUGGGGGCAACCCUGAUCCAGCCAUGCCGCGUGUAGGAUGAAGGCCUCGGUUGUAACUGCUUUGUACGGACGAAAGACUCUGGUUAUACCUGGGUCCGAUGACGGUACCGUAAGAAUAAGCACCGGCUAACUACGUGCCAGCA
rnacentral:rRNA from 1 species